rnacentral:rRNA from 1 species
CCUACGGGUGGCAGCAGUGAGGAAUAUUGGUCAAUGGGCGCAAGCCUGAACCAGCCACGCCGCGUGCAGGAAGACUGCUCUAUGGUUUGUAAACUUCUUUUAUACGGGAGUAAAGUACAAUAUGCAUAUCGCUUUGCAUGUACCUUACGAAUAAGGAUCGGCUAACUCCGUGCCAGCAGCCGCGGUAAUACGGAGGAUUCAAGCGUUAUCCGGAUUUAUUGGGUUUAAAGGGAGCGUAGGCGGUCUGAUAAGUCAGAGGUGAAAGCCCGGGGCUCAACCUCAGAAUUGCAGUUGAUACUGUUCGGCUAGAGUAUAGUAGAGGUAGGCGGAAUGUAUGGUGUAGCGGUGAAAUGCUUAGAGAUCAUGAAGAACUCCGAUUGCGAAGGCAGCCUGCUGGGCUACUACUGACGUUGAGGCACGAAAGCGUGGGGAGCAAACAGGAUUAGAUACCCGUGUAGUC